rnacentral:rRNA from 1 species
AUGACAUUGAUUUAAAAGUUGAAUGGAGUAACGAUUGGAGGGCAAGUCUGGUGCCAGCAGCCGCGGUAAUUCCAGCUCCAAUAGCGUACACGAACGUUGUUGCAGUUAAAACGCCCGUAGUCGGAAAUGUGGGGCAUUGCUUUUUUGGAUUCUCUUUUUUUUACGAGGGAAUUGGAAAAAGCGACCCAUCUUGAAACGAGUUUCUUUAGUGGUCUUGAUUGAUUGCUAGAAGACUCGUUUUUAUUUACUGUGAAAAAAUUAGAGUGUUUCAAGCGUUUUUUGUGAAAGGAUAGCUUAGCAUGGUAUAAUUGUAAUAUAGGAUAGAAUUACGUUUGUAGAAUGGUAAUUUUAUCUUUUGUAAGUCAAUAGGGGUAGUUGGGGCCAUUUGUAUUCCAUAGUCAGAGGUGAAAUUCUUGGAUUUUUGGAAGACGAACGGAUGCGAAAGCGUUUGGCAAGGAUAUACCCAUUGAUCAAGGACGAAAGUUAGGGGAUCGAAGACGAUUAGAUACCGUCGUAGUCUUAACCAUAAACGAUGCCAUCUAAAAGAUGGUGUAUUGAUAAUUAAGCAUCGUACAUCCUUUUUUUCCGGGAAACCAAAGAUUUUGGGUUCUGGGGGGAGUAUGGUCGCAAGUCUGAAACUUAAAGGAAUUGACGGAAGGGCACCACCAGGAGUGGAGCCUGCGGCUUAAUUUGACUCAACACGGGGCAACUUACCAGGUCCGGACAUUUUUAUGAUUGACAGAUUGAUAGCUCUUUCAUGAUUGAAUGGGUGGUGGUGCAUGGCCGUUCUUAGUUGGUGGAGUGAUUUGUCUGGUUAAUUCCGUUAACGAACGAGACCUUUUCCUGCUAACUAGUUGGUAUCCUUUUUUUUGAAGAGAGGAUGCAUUGAACUUCUUAGAGGUACUAUUCGUUUUUCACGGAUGGAAGCUUUAGGCAAUAACAGGUCUGUGAUGCCCUUUGAUGUCCUGGGCUGCACGCGGGCUACACUGAUGCAUUCACUGAGUUUUUUUGAAAACCUAUUCUGAAAGGAAUAUGGGUAAUCUUUGAAAGUGCAUCGUGCUUGGGAUUGAAAACUGUAACUGUUUUCAUGAACGAGGAAUUCCUUGUAAACGCGAGUCAUCAACUUGCGUUG